CUUCCUUCGCCGGUUCUCAGGCGGCCUCCCCAGAAGGCGCAACCCUCAGUCUGAGAAGGCACAGCACUGUGACUACCCCUACCCCUGCUGGAGAGCUCCCCUCCCUUCCCGAAAGGUGCAAAGAAGGCGCGCCCCAGACUUCGUUGGCCUGGGGCAGUGGCUCACGUCUGUAAUCCUUGCACUUUGGGAUGCUGAGGAAGGCACAUCACCUGAGCUUAAAACUGCCAGACUGGAUCAGCAUAUGUGAUCUAAGAUCCUGUAAGAUCUGGCCCAGCCUGAUAUCUGUAUCUGUUAAGAAAAACUGACUGCCGCCGUCCCCAAGACCAGCAGCUCCAGGCCGGGCUGACACCGCUGCUUCGCCUCACCCCCGCCCAUGACCAUGUCAUCCUCUGAGGUGGCGUGGCACUUGCUCUUUCAGGCUCACAUGGCAAUGAAAACAACUUGUAUGUCUUCACAAGAAUCUGAUGAUGAACAGAGAAAAAGAGAAAACAUUCGUUCCUUGACUAUGUCUGGCCAUGUUGGUUUUGAGAGUUUGCCUGAUCAGCUGGUGAACAGAUCCAUUCAGCAAGGUUUCUGCUUUAAUAUUCUCUGCGUGGGGGAAACUGGAAUUGGAAAAUCAACACUGAUCGACACAUUGUUUAAUACUAAUUUUAAAGACCAUGAAUCCUCACAUUCUUGCCCAAAUGUUAAACAUUUGAACUCCAGGAACUCAGACAUAUGAACUCCAGGAAAGUAAUGUUCGAUUGAAAUUGACCAUUGUGAAUACAGUGGGAUUUGGUGACCAAAUAAAUAAAGAAGAGAGCUGCCAACCAAUAGUUGACUACAUAGAUGCUCAGUUUGAGGCCUAUCUCCAAGAAGAACUAAAGAUUAAGCGUUCUCUCUUUACCUACCAUGAUUCUCGCAUCCCUGUGUGCCUCUCCUUCAUUUCACCGACAGGCCACUCUCUGAAGACACUUGAUCUCUUAACCAUGAAGAACCUUGACAGCAAGGUAAACAUUAUACCAGUGAUUGCCAAAGCAGAUACGGUUUCUAAAACUGAAUUACAGAAGUUUAAGAUCAAGCUCAUGAGUGAAUUGGUCAGCAGUGGCGUCCAGAUAUACCAGUUCCCAACAGAUGAUGACACUGUUGCUAAGAUCAAUGCUGCGACGAAUGGACAGUUGCCGUUUGCUGUUGUGGGAAGUACGGAUGAGGUGAAAGUUGGAAACAAGAUGGUCAAAGCUCGCCAGUACCCUUGGGGUGUUGUACAAGUGGAAAAUGAAAACCACUGUGACUUUGUAAAGCUGCGGGAAAUGCUCAUUUCUACAAACAUGGAGGACCUGCAAGAACAGACCAUACCAGGCACUAUGAGCUUCAUAGGCGCUGCAAACUGGAGGAAAUGGGCUUUACAGAUGUGGGGCCAGAGAACAAGCCGGUCAGUCUUCAAGAGACCUAUGAAGCCAAAAGACAUGAGUUUCAUAGUGAAUGUCAGAGGAAGGAGGAAGAAAUGAAGCAGAUGUUUGUGCAGUGAGUAAAGGAGAAAGAAGCCAUAUUGAAAGCAGCUGAGAGAGAGCUACAGGCCAAAUCUGAGCACCUUCAGAGACUUCACCAAGAAGAGAGAAUGAAGCUCGAAGAAAAGAGAAGACUUUUGGAAGAAGAAAUAAUUGCUUUCUCUAAAAAGAAAGCUACCUCUGAGACAUUCCACAACCAGUCCUUUCUGGCAACAGGCAGCAAUCUGAGGCAGGACAAGGACCGUAAGAACUCCAAUUUUUUGUAAAACGGAAGUUCCAGAGCACGGAAGGUCAUCAUCACAAGCAAACUUUAUUUAAAAAAGCAACUAGAAGUGUGCUUUGAUUUUGUUGUUUUUAUUUGCUUUAUCACUUCGUCUAUAUUUGGCGAACAGCCACAGUGACUGUAUUUAUGGAAAAGUACCUUCAAGCACAAGGUCAAUAUGUAAGCCAGAGUGAAUUUUAUUAUAAGUUGAACAUCUCUAAUUCAAAAACCUGAAAUCCAAAAGCUUCAAAAUCUAAAUCUUUUUGAGCACUGACUUGACCCCACCUGACACCUUUGCUUUCUUAUGGUUCAAUUUAAACAGAUUUUGUUUCUUGCACAAAAUUACUAAAAAUGUUGUAUAAAUUACUUUCAGGCUAUGUGUAUAAGGUGUAUGUGAAACAUAAAUGAAUUAUGUAAUUAGAGCCGGGUCCCAUUGUGUUUAGGCAGAUAUUCUAGAAUCUGAAAUCCGAAACAUUUCUGAUGGCUAGCAUUUUGGAUAAGGGAUACUUAGCUUGUACCUAUAUAUUCAUAUAUAUUCACUGUUGUUAGAAAUUUUUAAGUUGCUGUUUUGUGAUGACUAAAUCUCUUCUCUUGCUACCAAGCUAUUGCCACUGCAGUGCAUUAUACCAAAGAGCACAGUGUCAGUGCCAUUGAAAAUACAGAACCCAUUCAUAUCGGGGCUAUGGCAUUGCAUUUAUAGUCCAAGAUGAACCUUUUUUAUAUAUACUAAAUAUUUUGGGGAAUAUGUUUUGGGAUAUAUUAUAGAGCUAAAACUCUAACCUCUUAAUAGUUUUAUAGAACUAAAAUUUUUGAUAGUUACCCUAUUGGUGAUACGAUCUUAAGCUUUUGUGUCAAAUUAUUUAACAUAUGACUUUAUGCUUCAGGAUGCCUUAUUGUGGCUGAUGUAUUACUGUUGUGAAACAAAAUAUCUUUAAAAGUUAAAACAUCCAGCUAUAUAAACUCUUUUUUUCCUAAUGAGAAAGUACCUUUGAACAUGGGUGUAUCACAGUUUUCGUUAGGAAAACAUUUUAUUACAUACUUGUUUAAACUCUGCCUUCCAGGGGAAAAAUAAUAAGGUUGAAUCAUUUUAUUAAAAAUAUUUUUUAAAAACAUAUGAACAUCUAAAUGUUAAAGAUAUAAAAAUGCAGAUUAAUUCAUAUUUUAUGUGAUGUUUGCAUUCAGGGCCUUACUAUUCCCAACACUUCAAUGAUUUCUAACAUUUCUUAACAUUCAUAGAUACAUUUUCAUUUUUUGUACUUGAAUAUUCUAAAUAAAACUGACAUUUACUCUUGAAAGAAAAAAA